UACGGGGGGGGCAAGCGUUGUUCGGAAUUACUGGGCGUAAAGGGCUCGUAGGUGGCCAACUAAGUCAGACGUGAAAUCCCUCGGCUUAACCGGGGAACUGCGUCUGAUACUGGAUGGCUUGAGAUUGGGAGAGGGAUGCGGAAUUCCAGGUGUAGCGGUGAAAUGCGUAGAGAUCGGGAGGAACACCAGUGGCGAAAGCGGCUCUCUGGUCCAAAACUGACGCUGAGGGGCGAAAGCGUGGGGAGCAAACAGG
rnacentral:rRNA from 1 species